CCUCGUGAUCCACCUGCCUCCACUUCCCAAAGUGCUGGAAUUACAGGCUUGAGCCACCGUGCCCAGCCCCAAAUAAUCCAAUUUUAAAAGGGGCAAAUGAUCUAAACAGACAUUUCUCAAAAGAAGACAUACAAAUGGCCAACAAAUAAAUGGAAAAAAAAAAAAAAAGCUCAACAACACCAAUCAUCAGGGAAAUGCAAAUUAAAAACACAAUGAGAUAUCUCACUCCAGUUAGGAUGGCUAAUACCAAAAAGAUAAAAAAUAACAAAUGCUGGGGAGGAUGUGGGGAAAUGGGAACUCUUAUACACUGUUGGUGGGAAUGUAAACUAGUAUAACUCCUGUGGAAAACAGUAUGGAGUUCCUCAAAAACUACAAAUAGAAUCACCAUAUGAUCCAGCAGUCCCACGACUGGGCAUGUAUCCAAAGGAAAGGAAAUCAGGAUAUUGAAGAAACAUCUUUACCUCCAUGUUUAUUGCAGCACUAUUCACAAUAGCCAAGAUAUGGAAUCAAUCUAAGUGUCCAACAACAGAUGAAUGGGUAAAGAAAAUGUGGUAUAUAUACAUAACGGAACAUAAUUCAGCCAUAAAAGGAAUAAAAUCCUGUCAUUCACAACAACACGGGUGGAACUGGAGGACAUUAUGUUAAAUGAAAUAAGCAAAGAACAGAAAGUUAAACACCGCAUGUUGUCUUCACAUGUGGAAGCUCAAAAAAGUUGAUCUCAUAGAAAUAAAAUGUAGAACAGAGGAUACUAGAGGCUGGGAAGGAUAGGAGGAAGAAGGGGAUAGGGAGAGAUUUAUUAAAGGAUACAAAAUUACAGCUAGGAGGAAUAACUUCCAGUGUUCUCUGCCACUAUAGGAUGACUACAGUUAAUAAUAAUAAUAAUAUAUUAUAUGGUUUCAAAUAGCUAGGAGGAUAUUGGAUGUUCCCAACACAAAGAAAUGAUAAAUGUUUGAGAUGAUGGAUAUGCUAAUUACUCUGAUCUGAUCACAAAAUAUAUAUGAAAACAUCACUAUGUACCCCAUGAAUACAUAUAAUUAUUAUAUGUCAGUUUCUUAAAAAGAAAAUAUCUGCAAACCAUACAUCUGAUAAGAAGUUAAUAUCCAAAAUAUAUAAGGAACUGAAAUAGCUCAAUAGCGAGAAAACAAUCUGGUUAAAGAAUAGGCAAAGGACCUGAAUAAGCAUUUCUCAAAAGAAGACAUAAAAAUAAUCCUAUCUUUUACACUAUGACAAGCAUUUCCAUCCCCAGGUUUAUAUACAAAAGGAAUUGUUACAAAGGGACUCUGGGACCCAUGUAUAAGGAAGUUUACAGCAGUGCUGUUUGUAACAGCAAAAGCCAGAAAUAGCCUAAAUACAGAAUAAACAAUAAUAUAUUCACAAAGUGGAAUAUUACAUAGUCAUCAAAAUAAAUGAACUACAGUUGCAUACAUCAAUAGGGAUGAAUCUUAGCAAUACAAUAUCAAGUGAAAAGAAGUGCAUUCCAGAAGUUAAUAUAUAGCAUGCUGCCUUCCCUAAAGUUAAAAACACCAACAUUAAAAAAUAAGUGUUUUAGGACUAUAUAUCAAACAGAUACAACUUUGUUAAAAGGAAAACAAGGGAAUGAUAAGAUUUGGGAUGAUGUUUACCUUGGGUAGAAAAAAGUGGUGAAUGGGCUGAAGGAGAAUUCAUAGCUAGAUGUAAAUAUAAUCCAAAUAUAUUCCACCACUUUUGUGUGAGUCUUAGCUUUCGUAUUAACCAACAGGUUUAUGAGUAUGUAUUAUAAUAAACAAAUUAAUAAAUAAUGGCUAUGCAUGGACCAACGAGUAGACUCCUUAUUAAACUACCAAUUAUGAUUAAUUCAAUUCUGAGUGUGUCUGGAGUCCAAAGGAAAAACAAAAAGCAAAACCUAUGCAUUAAUUGUGAACAAUGUAGCACCCUGGCAAAGUAUGUGAAGAAAAACUCAUCUCUAAUUGUGUCUGCCCAGAGAAAAUCAGUGUUAACAUUUUGGUAUUUUUUCUAAUUCAUAUUUUUGAACAAAAGUAUAAUCAUGACAUUUAAACAGUAGUCAUUAUUUAAACUUAACAUUGCAUACAUUUUUCCACGUGAUAAAAUAAUCUUUGAAAAUAUGUUUCUAAUAGCUGAGUUGUAUUACAUUUUACAUAUGCACGAUAAUUUAUUUGACUAAUUGUUUGUAUACAUUUAUUCUGGUUGUUUCAAUUUUUUGUCAUUAUGAAUAAGCCUGCAAUAAGCAGUUUGCACAAUAAAUAUGGGUGCCAUCUUUGAUGAUUUACUUAGGAUACAUUUUUAAGAGUGGAAUAAAGGUGUGAAAAAAUUUUAAGUUAUUGCUACAUAUUGAUAAAUUGAAGGGCACCAUUUUUAUGUGAGAAAUAAAUAGAAAAAGUUUUUUUCAAUAUAUUGCACAUAAAAGUGCUUAAUAUAUGUGUAAUAGACAUUUAAUCGAUAUCCAUUGAAUAUGAAUGCAUAUAAUUACAAGGUUACUUAAAAUAUUUUAGAAGAUGAUAAAGGACUAUCUUCCUCAUCUGCCAGGCUAUGAAAAUUAAAUGACUCAGUAUUGUGUCUUAACUUUUAAUGGAAAUACAAGUGUGUGCCAUGGGAGCUAUUCUUUUUGUUGCAUUAAUGACAACAAAUAAAAUUUAUAUAUCAUGUUAU
rnacentral:lncRNA from 1 species